AAGAGUUUGCAAAACUCCCACAAACCAUCGCGAACGUUACCCAGAACGUCGUUGCUUCGGCGGGCUCGCCCGCCGGGGGGACGCUACCAGACUCUUGCAGUUAUUCGGCCCUCCUCUCUGAGUAUGAUUUUUUUAAAUAAGUCA
rnacentral:misc_RNA from 1 species